rnacentral:rRNA from 1 species
UGGGGAAUAUUGGACAAUGGGCGAAAGCCUGAUCCAGCCAUGCCGCGUGUGUGAAGAAGGUCUUCGGAUUGUAAAGCACUUUAAGUUGGGAGGAAGGGCAGUAAGUUAAUACCUUGCUGUUUUGACGUUACCGACCGAAUAAGCACCGGCUAACUCUGUGCCAG